rnacentral:rRNA from 1 species
AUUGAACGCUGGCGGCAUGCUUUACACAUGCCAGUCGAACGGCAGCGCGGGCUUCGGCCUGGCGGCGAGUGGCGAACGGGUGAGUAAUGCAUCGGAACGUGCCCAGUAGUGGGGGAUAGCCCGGCGAAAGCCGGAUUAAUACCGCAUACGACCUGAGGGUGAAAGCGGGGGACCGAAAGGCCUCGCGCUAUUGGAGCGGCCGAUGUCGGAUUAGCUAGUUGGUGGGGUAAAGGCUUACCAAGGCGACGAUCCGUAGCUGGUCUGAGAGGACGACCAGCCACACUGGGACUGAGACACGGCCCAGACUCCUACGGGAGGCAGCAGUGGGGAAUUUUGGACAAUGGGGGCAACCCUGAUCCAGCCAUGCCGCGUGCGGGAAGAAGGCCUUCGGGUUGUAAACCGCUUUUGUUCGGGAAGAAAUCCUCUGGGCUAAUACCCCGGGGGGAUGACGGUAUCGGAAGAAUAAGCACCGGCUAACUACGUG